rnacentral:rRNA from 1 species
UGGGGAAUUUUGGACAAUGGGCGAAGGCCUGAUCCAGCAAUGCCGCGUGUGUGAAGAAGGCCUUCGGGUUGUAAAGCACUUUUGUCCGGAAAGAAAUCCUUGGCUCUAAUACAGUCGGGGGAUGACGGUACCGGAAGAAUAAGCACCGGCUAACUACGUGCCAGCAGCCGCGGUAAUACGUAGGGUGCAAGCGUUAAUCGGAAUUACUGGGCGUAAAGCGUGCGCAGGCGGUUUGCUAAGACCGAUGUGAAAUCCCCGGGCUCAACCUGGGAACUGCAUUGGUGACUGGCAGGCUAGAGUAUGGCAGAGGGGGGUAGAAUUCCACGUGUAGCAGUGAAAUGCGUAGAGAUGUGGAGGAAUACCGAUGGCGAAGGCAGCCCCCUGGGCCAAUACUGACGCUCAUGCACGAAAGCGUGGGGGAGCAAACAGGAUUAGAUACCCUGGUAGUCCACGCCCUAAACGAUGUCAACUAGUUGUUGGGGACUUCAUUUCCUUAGUAACGUAGCUAACGCGUGAAGUUGACCGCCUGGGGAGUACGGUCGCAAGAUUAAAACUCAAAUGAAUUGACGGGGUCAUAGCUG